rnacentral:lncRNA from 1 species
GUAGAUAUUUAUAUCUAAAGCUUAGAUUUGAACUUUGAGCCUUAAAACUUCAAUUCUUUCUACUUUAAGAUCAUAAUUGCUUAAAACAAACUAUUUUAUCAUAAGUGUAAAUAUAUAAUUGAACCUUACUAUGCUUGACAAGUGUUAAUACUUUGUACCUAAUAGUAAUACCAUGGACACCAGAGUUUAAGAUUAUCCGUGAGAACACGAAUUCAUUGCUCAAUUAUGAUUUAUCUGUCAGAGAAAAAGGAUUUCCUAACCAGUUUAAAAUUCAAUCACUAAGCCAAGUUCUUACUCAGACACCUCC